CUGCAGUCGACGGGGCAGCAAUGCCCAGUGGCGCACGGGUGCGUAACGCGUAUGCAACCUGCCUCUCACAGGGGGAUAGCCCACCGAAAGGUGGACUAAUACCGCAUAAGAUAGUAGUGGAUCCUUCUACAGCUAUUAAAGAUUUAUCGGUGAGAGAUGGGCAUGCGUGCCAUUAGCUAGUUGGCAGUGUAACGGACUACCAAGGCAACGAUGGCUAGGGGUUCUGAGAGGAAGAUCCCCCACACUGGUACUGAGAUACGGACCAGACUCCUACGGGAGGCAGCAGUAGGGAAUAUUGGGCAAUGGGCGCAAGCCUGACCCAGCCAUGCCGCGUGCAGGAAGAAGGCCUUCUGGGUUGUAAACUGCUUUUGACAGGGAAGAAAAGGCCUUACAUGUAAGGCAAUCGACGGUACCUGUAGAAUAAGCACCGGCUAACUCCGUGCCAGCAGCCGCGGUAAUACGGAGGGUGCAAGCGUUGUCCGGAUUUAUUGGGUUUAAAGGGUGCGUAGGCGGCCCUGUAAGUCAGUAUUGAAAGACGGUAGCUUAACUAUCGGGCUGGUAUUGAUACUGCACGGCUUGAGUUGAGACGAGGUAGGCGGAAUUGAUAAUGUAGCGGUGAAAUGCAUAGAUAUUAUCAGGAACUCCGAUUGCGAAGGCAGCUUACUAGGCUCAACUGACGCUGAGGCACGAAGUGCGGGGAGCAAACAGGAUUAGAUACCCUGGUAGUCCCCGCCGUAAACGAUG
rnacentral:rRNA from 1 species